rnacentral:tRNA from 1 species
UGGGAUGUGGCUCAGUGGUAGAGCACUUGCCUGGCAUGUGCAAGAUUCUGAAUUGUUUAUCCCAA